rnacentral:lncRNA from 1 species
UGUAAAGUAAAGCAAACAGGACUGUAAAGUAAAACUACAGGACUGUAAAGUAAAGCAACAGGACUGUAAAGUAAAACUACAGGACUGUAAAGUAAAACUACAGGACUAUAAAGUAAAGCAACAGGACUGUUAAAGGAAAGAGUUUUAUGUAUCAGGUCGAGCAGCUCUGCUGAAAGGGGAUGAUGGCCUUUGUGAGUGAGUUGAGCUGGGUGAGGUCAUGACGCUGAGUCCUCGUCAGAAGGAUGACCCUAGCACACCCCCUAGAUGGAUUGAUGGGGAGUAGGGUGAAGUUUCCCCUAGACACUGAUCUUGGUUCAGUUUUGCAUUUCCCCCCACUAAUGGUUAAGGUUAGGUUUAGGGGAUGGGAAGCUUAUCCUAGAUCUGUACCCAGGGGAAUCUUCACAAGCAUGUUUGUAAGUGUGUGAGAGACAUAGAAGAGAGGCUGACAAUCAGAAAGGGGAAAAAGUGGAUGGAAUUACAGGUAGUUUGCUUGUAUUUUCUUGCGUGGCUGGCAUGUGACGGAAUGUUGAUGCACCUGAGCAGGGAGGUGGAAUGAACUGGGUAUAUUGACUAUUCGCAGCUAUGCUUUGUCAAUGUUGAAGAGCCAGAUAUGUUCUCCUGCAUCUGUUUAGCCACAGCUUUAAGAUACUACACAGUGAAGUGGUGAAUGUAUCCUCAUACACUGACGAUGUCUCCUAUCGUGGUUAAAUAAGAGCCAUUUUUAUAGAGAUUAUUUCAUUGUUUCGUUUUGUUUUUGUUUUUUGCUUGAAAUGUAACCGUCCACGAGCUUGCUCUCUUCUAGAAUGUUCACUUAGACAUGUUCUAGAACUUUUCUCAGUGUUCUGAGAGACUGGUUUAUUAACGUCUGAAACCAACUACAAAUGUAUUGUCUUUUAAUGAGUAUUAUACUGCCAUUUUAUUUUUGUAAUGAGGGGAGAAAAGUAAUUUUAGAUGAACGAGUUAUGGAGCCAUGACUGCAAGGUGAUGAUGGGGAAAUGUGUAUUUAUAUUCUCGUAAAAAAAUGAGGGCUUUGUCCAGUUUACAGUGGCCUUAUUUUAUUUAGGAGACGUUACUCUACUGUUGUAGCACUGGUACACGGUUGAAACAAACACCGUUUUUUUUUUUUUUUAAGUAAACAAAACAAGUAUUUUUCUUGAAAUACUGUACUGAAGUAUCUCUCUGUAAAUGUAUAGUUUUCUGAACGUAUUUAUUCAUCAUUACACUAUAUUGAAGUGUAGCUGUUUGUUGUUUGCUUGGUACUGUUUCACUGCAGUCUUUUCUCCUGGCUGACUCACCUGUAUUGGUUCAGUCGCUGUUAUACUGUAUCUUCGGUUAUUUAUUUUAAAGAAUAGGCUCUGUGGUUGACCUUUAAACUAGGCAUGAAUAAGACAUAUGAUGUGGGGAAAUGUAUUGAUUUAUUUAAUGUUGAAUUUAGACGUUAUCUGAUCCACUGAAUUAACACUUUUUUUUUCAAAAUCAAGCUAAAUUUACCAUUUUAUUUAUGAAGUUGAUAUUAAGUGUAAAUUUAAUACACAUUUGUACUUUAGUAAUCCUUACAAUAUUUACCGCAUGGUUACUUUGAAGAAUGUAUUGUAUUUAAUGAUAUAACGACAUGACGACGAUAAUGAUGAUUUAAUGAGUUUAGAAAUACAGAGCCUUCAGAGAGUAUUCAUAGCCGUUGACGUAGUCUACAUUUUGUAGUGUUACAGCCUGAAUAAAUAUUUUUUUCUGUCACCCAUCGACACACAAUAUCUUACAAUGGCAAAGUGAAAACAUGUCUUUACAAAUGUUAUCAAAUUUAUUAAAAAUUAAAUACAGAAAUAUCACAUUUACAUAAGUAUUCACAAACCCCUGAGUCAAUGCAUGUUAGAAUCACCGUUGACAGCGAUUACAGUUGUGAGUCAUUCUGGGUAAAUCUCUAAGAGUUUUCCACACCUGGAUUGUACAAUGUUUUUUAAUUAUUUUUUUAUUUUUUUAUUAUUCAAACUCUGUCAAGUUGGUUGUUGAUCAUUGCUAGACGGCCAUUUUCAAGUCUUGACAUACAUUUUCAUUCCAGUGUAUAUUUGACUUUGUGUUUCAGGUUGUUGUCCUACUGAAAGGUGAAUUUGUCUCCCAGUGUCUGUGCUAGGAUUUUGCCUGUGCUUAGCUCUAGUUUGAAUAUUUUUUAUCCCAAUAGCAACUCCCUAGUCUUUGCCGAUGACAAGCAUAGCAUGACGCAGCCACCACCAUUUUUGAAAAUAUAAAGAGUUGUACUCAGUGACGUGUUGUAUUUGAUUUACCCUAAACAUAAAGUUAAUUUCUUUGCCACAUUUUUUGCAAUCUUACUUUAGUGCCUUAAUAAUGCAAACAUGAUGCAUGUUUUGAAAUAUUUUAUUCUGUUUAGGCUUUCUUCUUUUUCAUUAAGUCAAUAUUGUGGAGUAACUACAAUGUUGUUGAUCCAUCCUCAGUUCUCUCCGAUCACAGCCAUUAAACUCUGUAACUGUUUUAAAGUCACCAUUGACCUCAUGGUGAAAUCCCUGAGUGGUUUCCUUCCUCUCCGGCAACUGAGUUAGGAAGGACGCCUGUAUCUUUGUAGUGACUGGGUGUAUUGAUACACCAUCCAACGUGUAAUUAAAAAGUUCCCCAUGCUCAAAGGGAUAUUGAAUGUCUGCAGUUAGUUUUUUUUACCCAUCAACCAAUAGGUGCCCUGCUUUGCGAGGCAUUGGAAAACCUCCCUGGUCUUUGUGGUUGAAUCUGUGUUUGAAAUUCACUGCUCGACUGAGGGACUUUACAGAUAAUUGUAUGUGUGGGGGUACAGAAAUGAAGUAUUCAUAUAAAAAUCAUGUUUAACACUAUUAUUGCCAACAGAGUGAGUCCAUGCAACUUAUUAUGUGACUUGUUAAGCACAUUUUUACUCCUGAACUUAUUUAGGCUUGCCAUAACAAAGGGGUCGAAUACUUAUUGACUCAAGAUUGGCUUUUAAUUGUUUAUUAAUUUGUAAAAAUGUCUAAAAACUUAAUUCCACUUUGACAUUAUGGGAUAUUGUGUGUAGGCCAGUGAGAACAAAAUAAAUUCAGGCUGUAACGCAACAAAAUAUAAGAAAAGUCAAGGGGUGUGAAUACUUUCUGAAGGCUCUCAGCACUGUAUCAUGGGAAAUCUGUGAAUUGCAAGAAAUAUGAACAAUUGUAUUUAACGUAGCAUUAAUUUAGUCUUCCAUCCUACUGAUAUAGAGUUCUUCUUCUGGCAAUAAUAAUGUAUCUUCUUGUGUCAGAGGACUUAGCUAUGUCUGUUAGACCUUGACUAGUAGGGCUGGCCUAGAUACCUCUGACUGUUUUCUAUUCCGAUGACAACAAACAUCACUACAGAGUUUGAACUGCAGGGUCACCCUGGAGUGCCGGGCACUCCUUUCACAAGUCAGAACAAUGCCAUACAUGUUGAACAUUUUAAACGUAGACGCUGCCAUAGUGUUGAAGAACAAAACAUUGGGCGGCAGGGUAGCCUAGUGGUUAGAGCGUUGGGCUAGUAACCGUAAAAAAGGUUGCAAGUUCAAAUCCCUGAGCUGAUAAGGUACAAAUCUGUCGUUCUUCCCCCUGAACAAGGCAGUUAACCCACUGUUCCUGGUAGGCGGUCAUUGAAAAAUAAGAAUUUGUUCUUAACUGACUUGCCUAGUUAAAUAAAGGUAAAAAUAAAACAUUGGUCUAGCCCAUUAUUGAGAGUACUCUACAAGUACCACUAGGCAGUAUUUAAAUCCAACUCUGAUAACGUCUAGUUCAGCAGAAAUCAUAUCAAAUUUGACAAACUGUUUUCAGAGCUUAGCUCCAUUGACUCACUCAAUGCAUUUAGGACAAAGAACAUUUUACGAUGAACCCCACACUUUUCCACGAGAAAAGAAAAUCAAAGAAACAAAGCAGUGUUAACGUAGCAACCGUCAUCAACGAUAAGAAUAUUGUGUGUUUUUUUUUCUCUCUCUCUCUCUCUAAUUUUACUACUGCUGCUGUAAAUGCUGUUUGUCAACAUUGUCAAAUGUUCUAAUCGUCGUUUAAUCACAGCACAAGUUCCUGAGCAGCCAUUUUGUCUUUACACUUCUGACUGUCUGUCACAAAACACAGAUGAGAAUCUCCCAAAGCCAUGUUGUAGACCACAGUAGCUAAUCCCCUUAAAGACAGCCUUCAUAUUAACAUCCCCAGCCAGGAAACCUCCUCUCAAACGGGCAGCAAUGUAAUGAGGUAACGUUGUAGAAUUAUUUUAUUUUUUUAAUUUUUAAUUUUUUUAAGUUACAGCAACGUUAAUGUUUCUGAUAAUAUUUUGGGUCAUUUCGAUUAUCUAGAUUAAAAUGCUUCAGCCACACUUAUUCACACACAUAAAUGUAAGUUGCCCUGCUAUCAACUGUAAAGGCUCAUUGGGGGUCUAAGGUUGGUAUUUGCAGAACUGCCUUUACUUAUUGGUUUGGACUAUCUUCUAGACUCCAUGAGACAUUCAAAUACAGAGUUUGAAAGAGCGAAGUGUAGCAGUUUGUCUGAUUGAAGGAUGGCAAAGACAAGGAGCUGUAAUUUUAUACCUGUGCUUUGUAAAUGUUUUCUAUGUGCAGUAUUUGAUAAUGUAAAACUGGUAUUUUUGUGGUUUGUAUGCUACAUAAUUGAUUACUUAGGGUGCACGUAGUUUUGUAAGAAAAUAGUACCAAAUGAAUGAAAAACAUACAACAGCAACAAAAAAGUUUCACGUUUUUUCGGGUUCAGAAGCCUGUAUUUGCCCCUUUACCGUCU